rnacentral:lncRNA from 10 species
GCCGGGUCAGAGUGAGCUUGGCAGAUGAGAAGCCAGGUGCUCUGCAUGGCAAGGUGUGGUUGCCCUCAGGGUCCUCCUUGUCAGGGACCACAAGCCCUGGGGAAGGAGGCACUCGAUGUAGGAGACAGAGAGCAGAGAGGUGGAGUGAGGGUGGGACACGCUUUGGCCUCCCCUCCUCUCCUAGUCUUCCUCCACAUGCCAGUGCCUUUCCCUCCCCAACUCCACGUCGUAUAAGAGCCACAGCAGGAAGGGUAGACCUGGGUCCCCAACAUUCUUUGAAGAAGUCUUUCCAUAAGUGUGUCCACCUCCAUUCCCACUGCAGCUUUAGGGUCUGCCUCAGUGCAGAGCCCUGGGUAUGUACAGAGCAUAGGUGUACAUGAGGGUGAUUCUGGAAGGUUCUUCCUUUGCACAUACCUGCGUGUCUCAGUUUCUCUCCUCUUCAAGUCUGCUCAAAUGGCACCUUCAUGAGGCCCACCCUGACCACCCUACUUAAAAUGCCACCUCUAUUACUUUGCAUUGAUUGUCAACUUUGCAUUUUUUUUUUUUUACUUUUUUUCUUUUUUUUUGAGGUGGAGUCUUGCUCUGUCACCAGGCCUAGAAAAAUGCCUGGCACAGAAGCACUUACUAAAUAUUUGUUAAAUGGAUGAAUAAACUAUGUGACCAGAAUUCCUUAAUACUGGGUCCGAGACUAGAAAGUGGGAGUUACUGGUUUGGUUUUGGCACUUGUUUAGUCAGCUUGUGCUGCCAUAACAAAACACCACAGAUGGAUUGGUUAACAACAGACAUUUCUUUCUCACAAUUCUGGACCCUGGAAAUCUGAGGUUAGGGAACCAGCAGAUUCAGUUCCUGGUGAGGGCCCUCUUCCUGCCUGGCAGACAGCUGCCUUCUUGCCAUAUCCUCACGUGGUGAAGAGAGUGGGAGCUCCAGUCUCUUCUUUUUCUUAAAAGGACACUAAUCCCAUCAUGGGGGCCCCAACCUCUCAACCUCUUCUGAAUCUAAUCACUUCCCAAGAUGGCCACCAGUCUCAAGGAGUUUACUGUCACAGUGGGAGCAAAGAUGCUACAGCAGGUUGUAAAAUUAGGUGUCAUCCCAGUCAGUGGGGAGAGGACAGGUAAUUCAGGGAAGGGGACCUGGAUAGAGCUCACCCAUAGGAUAUGGCAGGUCCCAGAACUCUACUGAAAUCAAGUCUGGAUAAAAGUCAAUAAUAUUCUUCUGACCGAAUUCCUUUCAGUCUUCCUGAGGGAUGGGCAGGCUCAUUCCAGAAUAAAGAAGAUGCCUGGGGUAAAGAAGACUAGUCUCCAAGGGCACUGGCCCAGGACACCUAGGUUCUACUGGUCACCAACGCCCACCCAGAUCUCUCCUGGGUGGAGCCUUGUUCCAAGCCUCUCACAGCCCUUGCCUGCAUUCCCAUGGUGCUCACCAUGGAUAACAGGGCCACAGCCAGCCUCAGAGCCAGACUGUUAAGUGAAACCACUGAUCCUUGCUGAAUUACUUCUUUGAGGCUGAGAUAAACUUCACAUUUCAGCCUCAUUAAUAAGAUUAAUUGUAAAUCCAAAUGGCCUGCAAAUCUAUAAACAGUCGCUCAGUUGAUUAGCCAGAACAUUGAGGACUGUUAAUGAUACAGGAAAAGGCCCAUUUUGGAGGUGAGAAGCUGAGGAGCCUGAAACUGUUUCCAUUGUUUAUGAAAGUAAUCUGACAAUUAUGAAUGAAAAUACCCACCACCCCCCGACCCAGCAAUCCAAGGUGGGAAAUAUCUUUUUUUUUUUUGAGACGGAGUUUUGCUCUUGUCCCCCAGGCUGGAGUGCAGUGAUGCAAUCUCAGCUCACUGCAACCUCCAUCUCCCAAGUUCAAGUGAUUCUCCUGCCUCAGCCUCCCAAGUAACUGAGAUUACAGGCGUGUGCCACCAUGCCAGGGUAAUUUUUGUAUUUUUAGUAGAAACGAGGUUUCACCAUGUUGACCAGGCUGGUUUCGAACUCCUGACCUCAAGUGAUCCGCCCACCUCAGCCUCCCAAAUGCUGAGAUUACAGGUGUGAGCCCAAACUCCUACUUUUAAAUCACUGCAUAAUAGUCCAUAGUCCAUUGAAUGGAGUAUAGCAAUAAACACUGUUACAUAUUCUGAACCUCAACUCCCUCCCUCCCUCCCUUCCUCUCUCUCUCUCUUCUUUCUUUCUUAUUUUUUGACACAGGGCCUCACUCUGUCACCCAGGCGGAGUGCAGUUGUGGGUUAAUCAUGGCUCACUGCAGCCGCGACCUCCCCAGGCUCAGGUGAUCCUCCCACCUCAGCUUCCGGAGUAGCUGGGACUACAGGCAUGAGCCACCUCACCCGGCUAAUUUUUUGUAUUUCUGGUGGAGAAGGGGUUUCACCAUUUUGCCCAGGCUGGUCUUAAACUCCUAGGCUCAAACCAUCUGCCUGCCUCACCCUCCCAAAGUGCUAGGAUUACAGGUGAGCCACCACACCCAGCCAACUGCCUUUAUUUCUGUAAGAGAUAUUUCCCGGCCAGGCGCGGUGGCUUACACCUGUAAUCCCAGCACUUUGGGAGGCCGAGGCGGGUGGAUCACCUAAGGUCAGGAGUUCGAGACUAGCCUGGACAACAUGGCAAAACCCCGUCUCUACUAAAAAUAUAAAAAUCAGCCGGGCGUGGUGGGGGGUGCCUGUAAUCGCAGCUACUUGGGAGGCUGAGGCAGGAAGAAUUGCUUGAACCCGGGGGGGUGGGGGUUGCAGUGAGCCCAGAUGGCGCCACUGCACUCCAGUCUGGGUGACAGACCAAGACUGUCUCAAAAAAAAUAAAAUACAUAAAUAAAUAACAAUAAUAAUAUGUAAGAUUUGUCCCACGGCAUUUUGAGGUGAUGGCAGGCAGAAAUAAAGCCAGUCCCACCCUUUCUGGGCUAGGGAAAGCUGAGAUGGUCUUCGGCUCCGGGUGAGUCACUCCCCAGGGUCCAGGCCUGGCUGCCCGUUCCCCUCCCCCUCCAACCCACCUACAGCCCCUUCUGCUCUGCCCCAUCAACUACAUUUUCUCCCUCAGCACUCGCCUUAGAUUCCUGGACCCACAGCACAGAGGCGACCUCCUCCUUGCAGACUUUAGGCGCCACUGCGGGGUCCGGAAAAAAAAGAGAAACGGCCCAGCGCUGUCACUUACAUAACCCAGGGCGGGGCUGCGCUCGGCGACCGCAAGCGUUUUGAAUUCUGCGCCCCAGAGUUCACUGCGAGGACUGGGAUCACCCGUCACCCCGCCCUGGUCUACGGAAAAUGACAAGUGUUUACUGAUAUAGAAACGGAAUAACGGCGCUGUGGGCUGGGGUGGGCGGAGCUGCCUUCAGGCUUCUGGUCUCCAGCGGCGGGGAACUCACACCUGCCGCUGUGAAAAUGCAGACCCGCGGGGCAGUAAUUCCGAGUCCAGCCUGGGGCGCGAUCUGGAAUCUUGACUCGCUUGAAACACCACGACGGAUUCGGAGACAGGUGAGUAGAGAAAUGAGCCUCAGCCCCUCCCACGGGCCGCCCACGGAUUCCAGGAUCCGGAAACUCUUCCUGCUGCUGCGUCACCCCAGGAAGGCAGCGCCCGCCUCUGGGCAGUUCUGAUGGAAACUGGCUUCGCCGCCCAGAGGAAAACCCACAACUAAGGGGCCAAGAAAAAGCCUCCAUGGUCCCGCCCUUUCAGUGAGGAUCCUAAUUUAUACCCCGAGUGUGGCCCCCAUCAAAGUCUGCAGUGACAGCCGAGCGCGGUGGCUCACGUCUGUAAUCCCGGCACUUUGGGAGACCAUGGCGGGCGGAUCACUUGAGGUCAGGAGUUCGAGACCAGCUUGGCCAACAUGGUGAAGCCCCUUCUCUACUAGAAAUACAAAAAUUAGCCGGGUGUGGUCGUAGGCGCCUGUAGUCCCAGCUACUCGGAGGCUGAGGCAGAAAAAUGGCUUGAACGCGGGAGGCGGAGCUUGCAGGGAGCCGAGAUCGCGCCACUGCACUCCAGCCUGGGCGACAGAGACUCCAUCUCACACACACACAAAAAAUGUAGAGUGACGUUCACUGAAAUGAUACUAGACCAGCGGGAGGGACCCAGAGCGCUGCGGUUCACAGAAUGCGGUGACAGCGCCGCCUCGCGUCCUUUACUUCAACUGCCCCAGGCAGACGUGGUCACGUGUGUUGGCCUGGAGGCUGGAAUACACCGGGGUCAAAUGCAGAGUGGAGAAAGGAGGGAAGGAUGGGAGGACGUGUUGAAGAAAGACAGUAAGAGCUAGCGCUAUGGUUCAUAUCUGUAAAACUAGAGUUUUCGGAGGCGAGGCAGGAGGAUCGUGUGAGACCAGGAGUUUGAGGUCGCAGUGAGCCGUGAUCACACCACUGCACUCCAGCCUGGACGACAGAGUGAGACCCUGCUUUUAUAUACUUUUCAUAUUUUCUGUAAUUAAGCAAGUUUUGUGUCCGGAAUUGGUGGGUUCUUGAUCUCACUGACUUCAAGAAUGAAACUGUGGACCCUCGCGGAAAUUCCUGUUGAUGGCGCAUUUAGGAACUUAUUUAUCCCCUGAAGACCUGAGCCCUGCACAUAUCAAAACUGUACAUUCCUUGUGGAGCAGUCUUCUCUUUUGAAAUGUAGACACUAUUUCCCUAAUCUUCAAGCCAGCCAUUGUCACUCCUAGUGACACUUCCAUUGGAUAAGCUCCUUACUCUCACUGAAAUUGGCCUCAGAGUUGCAGCCAAGCAUUGGGAGCCAUGGCAGAAGUCAUUGUGGGGUUUGCACCUGGCUGAUGUGGAAGGUAGUCCUGAAAGGUAGUGUGUGACUAAGUGGGCUCUGGAGGGCAGGGAUGUGCCUGGUGAGAGGAGAACAAGACAGAUAGGAAGGUUCCAAAAGAAAACUUCAGGGGUCCCUGUGCCCAACAUCGGGAUUUAGAAAAUCUUCUCCCAGCCACUUUUGACCUGCUUUCAUUCCGCUUUCCUGUCUACCAGGCCAUUGCAGGCAGUUCCUUCAUUGAAUAAAUAUUUAUCAAAUACCUACCACGUGCCAGGCAUUGUGUUUAAGGAGCUGGGGCUGAGGUAAGAGGAACCAAACCCCCCUUGCGCUCAAGGUUGUCCCAGUCUUGCUCAGGCAGAGAUCAGUCAGGAAAUUGUAACACUAAUGGUUGGCAGGACAUGUACACAUGCUUUGCAAACUCACAAGUAGACCAUCUUCUCUGACCUAGGAGUCACAGAAAGUUCACAAAAGAGACAAUGUUCAAGCUAUGUUUUGAGGUGUAAGUAGGAGCCCAACAGGCACCUGGGACAAGAGAGCAUUGCUCAGAAUCCAGAACAUGAAUUUCUUUCCCUGGGCCAGGCCAAGAAUCAGACUAAGCUGACUGAGGAGCCAGAUGCUUCCUGGCAAGAAAGGGUGUCCCACAUCUGACUAUUCCAAAAUCACAGCUACUCAAUGUUGAGACUUAAGACAGACAGAAAAAGAGAAAGGCCUGAUUCGAAAAGCAGAAUUCUCCAGGGGUGGGGGGAGGUUAAACUGCAGUUUCUGAUAUAAUAUGUGUGGGCCAG